AUGAGUGAGCAGGAGGUCACUUUCUCAGCUGUGAGAUUCCAUAAGUCUUCAGGGUUGCAGAACCGGGUGAGGCUUGAGGAGACAGGGAAGCCUCGAAAAGCUGGCCUCAGAGUUCCCUUGCAGCUCAUUGUGAUAGCUCUCGGGAUCCUCAUUUCCCUUCGACUGGUAAUUGUCUCAGUGCUUGUGACAAACAUUUUUCAGAAUAGUUAACAAAAACAUGAACUGCAGGAAACUCUAAACUGCCAAGAUAAGUGCAGCACCACCACGCAAAGUGACAUCAACUUGAAGGAUGAACUGCUGAGAAAUAAGUCUAUAGAGUGUAGGCCAGGCACUGAUCUUCUGGAAUCCCUCAACAAGGAACAGAACAGAUGGUACCGUGAAACCAAGACUUUUACAGAUUCCUCACAGCACACAGGCAGAGGUUUUGAAAAAUAUUGGUUCUGUUAUGGUAUAAAAUGUUAUUAUUUCGUCAUGGACAGAAAAACGUGGAGUGGAUGUAAACAGACCUGCCAGAUUUCCAGCUUAUCCCUUCUGAAGAUAGACGAUGAGGAUGAACUGAAGUUCCUUCAGAACCUGGCUCCUUCAGGCAUUUCCUGGAUUGGAUUUUCAUAUGACAAUAAGAGAAAAGAUUGGGUAUGGAUUGACAAUGGCCCAUCUAAACUGUGAUGCCUUGAACACAACGAAAUAUAAUAUAAGAGAUGGAUUAUGUAUGUCGUUAUCUAAAACAAGACUAGACAAUGGGGACUGUGGUAAAUCAUACAUCUGUAUUUGUGGUAAGAGACUGGAUAAAUUCCCUCAUUGA
rnacentral:lncRNA from 1 species